rnacentral:rRNA from 1 species
AAUCCAGACUCCUACGGGAGGCAGCAGUGGGGGAUAUUGCACAAUGGGGGAAACCCUGAUGCAGCGACGCCGCGUGAGUGAAGAAGUAUUUCGGUAUGUAAAGCCCUAUCAGCAGGGAAGAAGAUGACAGUACCUGAGUAAGAAGCCCCGGCUAACUACGUGCCAGCAGCCGCGGUAAUACGUAGGGGGCAAGCGUUAUCCGGAUUUACUGGGUGUAAAGGGGGCGCAGACGGCGAUGCAAGCCAGGAGUGAAAGCCCGGGGCCCAACCCCGGGACUGCUCUUGGAACUGCGUGGCUGGAGUGCAGGAGGGGCAGGCGGAAUUCCUGGUGUAGCGGUGAAAUGCGUAGAUAUCAGGAGGAACACCGGUGGCGAAGGCGGCCUGCUGGACUGCAACUGACGUUGAGGCCCGAAAGCGUGGGGAGCAAACAGGAUUAGAUACCCGCGUAAU